CAAGUGCUGCCGCCUAGCGGCGAGGCGGCAAAAUAACAUGUUUAGAUUUCCAAAUAAUGUUAUGGAGGUCGUGAAUCCCAAAAACAAGUUUGCCGGAGGAAAGUACAGUGAAUGUGCUGCCCUUCUUCUCAAAACUCUCACAUGUACACAGAGCAAAGCGAAACACGACUGAGGUGAGUGUUUUUAUUAUUUCUUUGGCUGUGUACUUUCACUUAAGGUUACAGUCUGUCUUCUUUAAAUUAGCAUACCUAGCAUCAACCUUAAAUGCGUUCACUUUCCUUACUGUUGGCUUCCUAUUCGUGAACUUCAAGUGUUAUGUCAACAAAAUAAGUUCCUUGCUGAGCAGGCUUCUUGCAGCACCUUAAAAAAGUCUUUAAAAGUCUUGGGUAAGACUUAAAAUUUUAGGUCAUACAAUAUACAAACACAUUUUUUUACUCACGAGAGGUCUGAUAUUUUAGAUGGUACUGGAAACGAGGCAAGGACUUUAAAAUCCACAUAAACAAUCACUUUUGACUCACACAGUUAGAGCAUUUCUUUUAUUAUAUUGAGCAUCCAUAAUUUACUAAUUUACUGCUUCUGAUCUGACUCUGCAGACACACCAAAUAGUCACUGAUAGGUGUCCCCUGAGUUGAAAUGUUACAUGGACAUGUCUGAGUACUUAACCAAAUCUACCUUAAUUAUUGAACAUUUAUAUUUAUUUAGGAUUUGCUUGUGAUAAUUUAUGGUAUUUAGGGCAGCGUAUUACAAACCCAUUCAAAAAAUGCAUAUACAAGAAAGAGGAAGAUGACAAAAAAGUACAGAAAUAAGGGAAAUUUGACUUAAGGAUGGAACAAGUAGGAAACUGAAUCGUGUGUAGAACAGUGUAAAAGGAAUACAGUGUAAACAGUGUAUAGUAAAUACAGUAACCCAGGAUGAAGGGCACAUUCAUGAUUGGCUUAGCAUUAGAGUGAGAAUUAGAGUUUGUGGGGUGACGGAGCUCAAGGAAGAACAUUUAUGAUCAUUACUUUAUUUCCUUGAAGUAAAAAUCACCAAAUUAAUCAUUUUGCUCUACAGACGUGGUAGUUCUUCUGCCUUAGUGUCUCAGUCUGAUUGCAUUUCCAUUGAGAAAUGAUCAUAAAUGUUCUUCCUUGAGCUGCAUCACCCCGCAGCAGUCUGUAAUGGACUGGCCUGAGGUCUCCGUAUAAACAAGCGGCUGCUGGAAGAGAGUAGGUGAGUUUUGUUUAGUCUCUUUGCUAAAGAAAUCAGGUAAAGCUUAAAAGAUGUUUGGUGGCUAGUGCUGUGGCUGGGACCCUAUACUGUUGAUGAAGUUAGGUGCUGUUCUGAGCAUUAUUUGUGGCUAUAGAGUGGCUUUUUGGUUGAGCAAGUGGCUCUCUGUAUUGCUAUCGUGUAUUGCUAAAGUCGGCCUCAACUAGAGAAGCAAGGGGUCGGCAACAUUCAUCUCUCGAAGGGGUGUCUAACUCGGUGUUACGGUGUGUUUGAUCUUAAUUAAUUUUACGUCGGAAUAUCCCUUUAACAUACUCUUGAGUUUCCUGUAAAUGUGAACAUCCAGGCCUAUAACUCCAAUGGUAUAAAACAUACAGUAUGUGAUAGUAAUGUGGUUCCAAGUGUUCAAAAUACAUCCUUGUGUGAAUAUGGGUCAUAUUUUCCCUGUUUGUUUUAGCAUGAACUCCUGCCACUAGAUGGCAGCAAAUGCAUUUCUAACAGACCUAGCUGUAAAUACAGUGAGAGUGAAAGUAGAGAGGAAAACUGUUGUACCUGUGCUGCAGUUUGAUGAAUGGAUGUGGAAGAACUGAUGGCGACUGAUGACUUCCUGAUGAGCAUUUCCUUCCACGAAGCGUUUGUGCUGAUUAAUUGUUCUGUCGAAUCAUAACCGCUGACAGUGAAAAUUACCCCACAGCAUUUGAUUUUCCAUUUCCUUAUAAUGCUGCCACUUACAACCCACAUAGACCUCUAAUUAAACCUCUAAUAUUGUGCUCAACAUGGUGUGGGCUUUUUGAAAGUGCCUCUGGAGGCUUGGUGUUUGUAAAUCUUCACAUCCCGGAAAUCAUGUGCUAGAACACCACGUAUCAAGCUGUGUAAAAAGCCUCCAUGUAAAGAGCAUACAAAUGCUCAGAACACUUGAGGGACUGCAAGUAGCAUGUUUUCAUCAUGAGAGGAAGCUCAGUGAUCUUCCCUUAAAGUGCCUCUAGAGCAUUUUUGUGGAGCUAUCAAAUACUGUAAGCUAAUAGAUCUUACACAUAGGCCCACACACACACACUGUACUCCCUGUGGGGGAAUUGUAUAUCCCAAACCGCUCAGAUGGAGGGAAACUGGUUCUCUCCCAGGACAGGGGAUCCUGGGAUUUAGUCACUGGUCCUGCUGAAUACUGUAGGCUAUUAGAUUUAGAUUAAGAGAAGUGCCCUCCGCUGAGUUACAGUUCCCUCUUUGGUUUCUUGUAUGUAUUGAAGCCCUCAGGGUGUGUUAUAACCAGAUAAUGAUUCUAAUCUCAUUCCCACCAAAUCAAGACCAUAAUCAAUAACUGUAAUUGUUACUUAUCACAAUCUACAGGGGAUUUUUUUCAAUCAAUUGACUAAUCAAUUUGGUCUUUUAUGUCAGAAAUGACUAAAUAGUAUUCAUUAUUGAGACCCAGUAUUCAACAUAAGCUGAAGAUACACUGCUGGAACUUUCUCGUAACUACCUCGAAAAGGUUCCUGCACCUGGUUCCCAACACUAGGACUUUGGGGAGGGGGUCUGUCAGACUUAAAAUUUCAGGACAGUUGAGCCUCCACUUUCAGAAACUUGAAAAACCUCAAGUGGGCGGCAGUAGCUCAGGAGGUAGAGCAGUCGUCCAAUUACUGGAAGGUUGGUGGUUCGAUUCCCCCCUAUCCUGAGUCUGUCCGUUGUGUCCUUGGAGAAGACGCUUAACCCACCUUGCUCCCAGAGUGUGUCCUCCACUGAUGUAUGAUUGUGAGUGUUGUGUGGAGAGCCCGUAGGCGCAAACUGGCAGCCAUGUUUCCGUCAGUCUGCCCUAGGGCAGCUGUGACCACAAAGGAAGUUUACCACCACCAAGGUGUGACUGUGUGUGUGAAUGAAUGAUGUAUCCAAUGUAAAGCACUUGAAGGAUCUCUGAAGAAAUGCUAUGUGAAAUCUGAUGCGUUAUUUUAUUAUUAAGUGAUGUCAAGUUAGAAGUGGUUUGGACUUUAAAUUGUAGGUGAUGUGUUUGUAGGUUGAAUACAGGUAGAUUUAAACAGCUGUGAUGAUCCUGGUUUAAACAUAAAAGAAAAUAUAAGAACUUACUGGUAUGACUGAAAGCAUAUUUGCCAAAAACUUAUUUGACAUGUACUUUAACCCUCUUGUUUGACCCAUUUUCCACUUGUUACACUGAAAGAGGUAGUCAGGGGGAGCUUUACAAUUGAUACAGUAGUUAUUGUUCUGUUGCAUAUACCAUCAGUAGGGCUGGGCGAUAUGGGAAAAAGUUUAUCAUAUAUUUUUUUCAUAUCAGUCUAUAUUAAUAUAUAUCACAACAUAAAAAAAAUCACUAGUCAAUCUUAAAUGUUCCCUGGUACUCUUAAAUGAAAUGUAACAGUGCUUAUUGGUAGCAUGUCUUUUUUAAUACAAUAAGCUACUGCAUCUGUGUCGUCUUUGUGUCUCUUUGACGUUUUGUCGUUAGGAGUUGCGAUAUAAAAGCAGAAUGGUCAGCUGUUUCGGCUGCACAAGUGCUAUAGUUGUGUGUAGCUGCAGCCUGUUACUACGCAGUUGUUUGCUACUUAGUUGUAAUUCAGCACAUGAUUGGUUCAGCGCGAAGCGGACCCGGGGCAACUCCUCUUUUCAUUGGCUAUUCGUAUAGUCUGCCAAAACAUGGCAGAAUGCUGACUAUCGAAAAGCAUAUUGACCAUGUUUUAUAUUGAUAUAGAGGAAAAUUUAUUUUCGAUAUAUAUAUCGUUAUCAUUUUAUCACCUAGCCCUAACCAUCAGUUGUGGAAAAACAAACAAACAUCUGAUUUAAGAGCCUGUUUUUCCUGAAAAAUUAACCUCAAGUGAAUAAAAUUUCUGGGUAGGCUUUAACGUGUUAAAAUUGGUUCAAAAUGUGAAAUUAUUUAGUCGAAAAUAUAAGCCAAUUAGUUAAAAAGGGCUAAUCCUCUAUAUCUGAGAAGACAGAGACAGAACAAGAAAAACAAAUAAAUAAAUAAAAACAAUAUUUGUCAAUUAAAGCUCCUGUGUGGAUUUUCCCUGGUUAUAAAACACAAUGCAAUAUAAAGCUAUGUCCCUUUUGACCUACUAGAAUAAACAAGACCACCAGCAGCAAGACUGAUCAUGUUUUCAUUGACAUUUCUAAUACCUGUAACCACUGGGAUAAAGGUGUCAGUGACAUGAUUUAAAUGUCCACAGGGGGGCGCCAAAAAUCGACACAAACAUAAAGUUCCUCACAGGAGUUUUAAGUAAUGAUUUUAGCGUAACAUUGCAAAAAAACAUGAUUUUAACUCUUUUUAAAAGCAGAAUUACUCGUCUCUUUUUCCCUCAAAUGAUCAGUGCAUUACCCCUUUACGUACUCCACCUCAAACCUCUGUUUACUCGUACCGUUUACACUUUGCGAAAUGUAUCUGCAGAUCAAUGUGACCACCAUCUUUGUGUAAUUAACAUGAGUAAUUACUGUGCUUAAUUUACAGAGCCACCCAAGGUUCAUAAUGGGGCUGCAAAACAUUGACCCAUGACAAUUGAUUGAUCCCUCCUUCUUUUAAAACCAUGCCCCUGCUAAUGACUAAGUAAUGAGAAGAUAGUGUGGAGCUAGGGUGGCUAAUACAGCCUUCACUCCUCAUAUCCAGAUUGGCUGAUCUCCCCCCUCCCCCCUGUCUUCUUUUUUUCUUCCUCCCUCCUCCUCUUUCCAUGUUUUCUGCAAUGGUGUCCUCCUCUUUCCAUGUUUUCUGCAAUGGUGUCAGCUCCUCGCUUAGAGGCCCCUCUCCCUCGUCCUCCGCGUGUGUUUGUCUGCACGCAUCUUGUGCACACCGCUCAGUAAUCAGCCACACAGACUCGCCUUUGGUGGCUGGAGACUGAUUCAAUAUUCCACUGGGUAAUUUAUGCAGAACUAAUUCUCUACAGGAAUGGAAGGGCUUGGAGGAAGGCUGAAAGAGAGAGUGAGAGAGAGAGAGAGAGAGAGAGAGAGGGAGAGAAAAUGCAGGGAGGAAGAAAUCUGUGGUGAAAUAAUUAUCCCCUGUGUCACUGUAGCAACAUUCUGUGAAGUUGAUGUCAAUAAAAUAUUGAGCGACACAAUCCAUUUCAAUUUUACCUCAAAAAAGGAUGCUGCAGAGAGAAGGUCUGGUGGCUGCAGGAAUGAGGAGCACACACACAUGUUUUGGUUGAGCACAGCGAGGCGGUGGCUGGCGACGUGUGCUGCUUACAGACUGGCUGGGAAGCAUAUCAUCGCCUGUAGUCAUUUAACUUGUCAAAACAGCAGGGCUCCGUGUCUCCUCAUAUUUGGAUUUAGUGAGUUUGAAUAACUGAAGAAUAAAGCGGAAGAGGAUGAGAUGAAAAAUGAAAUAAGAGGGGGAGCUUCCCAGGAGAGCCAUUGGGAGCGCGGUAUAGAUCAUGGUCAUUUGUGACGGGUGGGUUUGUAAUCAGAGCUCCGUGUCAGAGAGCAUUCAUGUGAGGAUGUGUUUUCUGACGGCUGGGAUGGAGAUGAGUUUCAGUGUAUGCUCCUCACAACAUGUAUUGAUCGAUCUAGUAUACGUUGUGUACUGUGAGUGUCACAAAGCAGUUACUUUUAGAGUUCUUAGAAAUGCUUGUUUGAGAGGGCACAGAUUUUGGAUUAUUUCAAUUAGCUGGAAUACUAUAAAGCAUAAUAUCCUGUUUAUAGCAGGACUGAAAGCGCUCUAUAAACACCUCACUUUGACAGGCCCAUAAUGAAUAAAAUUGAAUUUGGUUUCAAGGUGGUGUUAAACCUUUUUAUAAAUGGAUCCCAAUAAGAAACCGUCCCGUGUUAACAGCAUUUCUACCCAACAUCUUGACUCACAAACUCAGAGAUAAACAGUUCUUCUUUGUGAAUCUCAAAGUGAAUGACAGCAGAGUUUGUUUUAAGGAGAAACACUCGAAAGAAUUCAACAUAAUUCACUGCUAAGACAGUAGAAAGGUAUGCAACGCAAACUCAUAAAAAUUCAGUGACAAACUGUGUGAAGCGGAGAUUUUCCAGAGCGGGGAGUGAAUUAAAACUCUAAAAAGUCUGAUGUGCUUGGACCAGAAGAGGAGAGAGAGAUGUGAGGCAGACUGACAACUUUUUAAUGCGUCACGUCGCUGUUGUGAUUAGAUUUUUAGAUGCACAAAAGAAAAAAAAACGACCUGAUUAGAUCACCUGCCAUAUAAACACUUGAACCAACAGCUUAAAUCACAAAGAUUUUAUUAUUAUUUAGCAUGAUGCACUAGAACUCAAGAGUUAUUAAUAAUGGAAAAAGUCCUCAAUCUUUAAUAGACUUGUUUAUUUUGAAGGGAAUCUAUUUACUUUGUGAAUUAAUUUCCUCAUUAUCAUGAAAUGAAUAAUCAGCACCAACAACGAUUACUUUAACUCAAAAGCACCCCAGCUUUUGGUCUUAUUUGGGAUUCAGAGCCACACAGAUAAAGGGUAAACAAUGUCAAAUUGGUUUGCAAAGCGUGGCUCAUACUAGCAGACAGAGCCAGCGCCGCCAUCUUUGCAAGAUAAUGUCUACAUGCCUGGACUGGUAGCACUGGUUGAAGCUUACACCUUCAUUACAAGGAUUAAAAUACUGGCGGAUUGUGUUGCACCGCAAGACAUUAUCUGUGCCUGUUUGAAUCCGGGUAGUAAAGCCUUAUAGCAGCUUUAUAGCAGUAACCAUUAACUUAAACUACAGUUUAUGGACUGCUGUUUUGAAGUUUUGACAAAACAUAUUACUGGUACUGUCACAAUGAAAAUAUUUAUUAUAACCGAUUAAUAACCUUGGCGCCAGCUAGUUAGAGUGAUGAGGUUUGAUUAUUUAUGCCUACUUUGCACUACUCAAAAUAAUGUAGUAGAUGUGGGUUUUGAACUACCCAGAACACAGUCAGUGAAGAAUCAAGUGGUUCGAGUGCAACUGUCAACUAGCGCCCCACGGGCACCAACAAUAAUAAUAAUAAUAUCUUGCAUUUGUAUAGCGCCUUUCAAGAUACCCAAAGCGCUUAACAACACACUACAAUAAACAUAACUAGAUACCAAAAGGCUGGAUAAACAAGUGUCGCUUCAGAGCAGACCAACAGGCCCUAGCAGUGUCGCGCCACUACCUCUGUAAAACACCUCCCCAGUGCACUUUGAAAUUUUGUAGGGGGCGCUAUGGAGCCAUUUUUAGUUGGAUCUCCAUUUUGACAUUGGAACCCUUUUUGUUCUGCUUGGGGUCCAACAUAACUGUAAUUGAUUCUGUAGGUUUGAGUCACACUCAGGAGCGAGACUUACAUUUUGAAAUUAUGAAGAGGGCGCUAUGGAGCCAUUGUCAGUUGACAUUGAAGCCCUUUCUGUUCGCUUUUGGGUUCAACAUUAGUGUCCUUGAUCCUUGAUGCACCCCAAGUACAGACAUUGUGGUUCUCGAUGUAGGCAGGCCCUCAUCCACUCUCACUCCCAGUUUGCUGCUCUAUCCACUAUUGUAUCCUUUGAAUAAAGACAUACAAGCCCAAGAAAAACAUUAUCAUUACCGUUUAAGACUGAGCCAAGGCCCUCAACCCAUUCUGGAAAUAUAGCAAAAUAAACUUAUUUGUCCAACUUAUGUAAUCCUUAUGGGAACAAAUAGUCAUCCCUGACUCCUGUUGGUGAAAUUAAACUGCACUUCCGCACUCGUGUGUUAAAUUAUCAUAGCUUUCAUUGAUCCCUGAGUGCAUGCCUGGUGCUGAAACAGCCAGGAACAAAGUGGAAAUAAACACACCGAUGAAUAUUAAACACAGAAUAUUUUCAUCAUGUCAGCACACUGGCUCCCAUUGCUCCUAAUGACCAAAAUCAAAAUAUGAGUCUACAGUCAUAGUUGUAUAAAUCUAAACCGUGUGUCUAGAAAGCACGCUGUUUAUAUCUAGGAGCUACAAAUAUGAAGAGCUUGGUUUUCCAAAAAAUCACACAGAAUUUGCAGCGAGUCCACAAGCAGGGAAUCAUGUUCUCGUUUCUGUCUGUUGCCUCAGAGGACUCCCCAGCACUCUCGUCUCAGACAUCUCAUUAUUUUGCAUCUUCGUCAUUCUUAUUAAAGCAAUAUAUCUUAACUUGGGGCCAGAGCUCGCCCAUGUAGUGGAAUACAUACAUGUCAAAACAUUAGCAGCGUGUGUGAAACUGCGCUCUGUCCUGCACUCAGGAGAGCCAUGUGCAAAAUGAAUAAUUUAUCCAAAUGAAUUAUAAUCCCAGCAUCUCCCCACCAAGGCUUUUGUCUGAGCAAGAUUUCUGCUCACAUUUCACUUCAUACAGUCGGCCUUGCAUAAACUAGAUACCUCUCUGGACAGAUUUGCAUAGAAACACCCUGCAAUGUGGUGAAAAGGGAGCAAUUAGGAUUCAUGACGGCGCCUCCCCUCCGGAUGCUCUGCUGCCAUGUGAGACGGCGGCAGCUGAUUGAAAUGGAAGAGCAUGGCCUUGUUCACGCACCUCUGUCUUCCUUCUAUCUCUCUCUCCUCCAGGUCCGGCCUGUUCCUCCUUCUCCUCCCCUCUUCCCUUCAUCAACCUUUUCUCAUUGUCACCCUCCGCCGCCAAAGUAUAGAUUAGCAGCCGCUCAGGGCUGUUUGGAACUUUUUCUAAAGAGCCAGAGGGAAGGAACCUCUCAAGCAGCAGGUUAACAACAUCAUCAAACACGAUGUGAUUAGUAGUUAACGGAUGCAGAGGGUCACGUUGUGCAGUUGUUUGAAACAGGUGAUGGAGUCCUUGCUGUUGGUGUCUGGCUGAUCGGAGCGUGUGGGAGGUGUUUGACACGAAAGGAGGCUUCCAGCUCGCAGAAGCAGGAACAGAUGGUGCUGGAAAAUGAGCCACCUCUCAGAAGCAUUGAAACCCCCUCCAACGACCCUCCCCACACGCUCCCUCCUUCUCUCUAUCUUUCCUCCAUAAAUGAACCACCCUUUUUGCCAAGAUUAUUUAAGAGCCCUUCUUAUUGCUCAUACAAGUGUCAUCCUGCUUUAAAUCAAACUACGCUAGAAAUGAGCACCAGGGAUGAGGAUGUCUGACAUAUUUUCUUCGUACUGGGUACACAAGGUGCUUUGGGUCAUCUGCCAGUACGAGUUUUUGUUCACCUGGAUGGAGCCAGCAGAUGGCAGGGUAAGGUUUGAGACUCCUUAGGGAAAGACCACAGAAAGCCAGGAAACACAUUUCUUGAAGCACUUACUGGCUGUGCUCCUUUAAUCUGUCACAGAUAAACGACAACAUAGUGUCAGAAGGAUUUAUACAAGUAUGUCGAUGUAUGUGAUCUGUGCGACAUGACAGAGUGCAGCUGUUGUAGCAUGCUUUCUUGUUCUUGGUAUGUUGGCGCCACGUGAAGGAGGGAAUAUAAUCAUGGUAGGAGUGUCUGUAUCAGAGAAAGACAUUUAAGUCAAGAAAUAUUCUUUAAAAAUAGAAAAAAGUAAACUCUUUACCCAGAUGUCUACAUCUCUUCGCUACAUCCUGCACAAGAGAGAGGAGCCAUCCACCAUCGUUGUUGUUUGGUCCAUCAAGGUGUAAUGAAGUGGAUGAUCCAUGGUUUUUAGAAUGGAGUAAGUGAGUGAAGUUUGUGGGUUAGCGCCAUAGGAUGUUGAGUCUGUAUCCUAGCAACAGUAUGAUGGAGAACAUCACACGGAACUUCAGCUGUUGCCUUGGGUGGGAUGUAAACAAGCAUUGUUACGAUAUGACUGAACUCCCUUGGAACAUAAUACAGUUGAGGAGCAACUGCCAACAGUUCAAUAUCUUGACAACACAACUUUUCCUUGACAGUUACCUCCAAUUUCCACCGCAUCCGAAACGGCUACGAAAAGGCCGUAUCCGCCAAUCGCAGCUGAUCAUUACCGUUCAAGUUAAGGUGUCCGUUUCCAUCGGCUUCUUUCCAAUCCACUACGGAUCAGCGGACGCCUCAGCUGAUUGCAAGAGUUGUAUUUUUUUCUGGACGCCACAUUAUGCCGCAUAAAGUCCACACAGAUUAGUCUGUGCUGGCAAGGAAGUCGGGCACAGACACAAAAUAAAACAUCCAGCUUCUUUUCAAAAUUCACUGUUUCGGAUCGGAGCCAUUCUGGAUGGGAUGAAAAUUCGGGGUUACAUAUGAAGAGCCACACCAUCCCUGGUCAACAAACAAAGCCAGACCCACUCCUUUAAUGGGAAGGGUUUGUUUUUGUUUAUAGUAAGUUUGUAGUCCAAGUAGUAUCAAUAAAGUACACAGGAACCGGCUUUGGUGGAUGCAAGACUAAUAGUCUGUGUUUUUGGAUUUCAAAGUUUGGAGCAGUAAUCUCAAAUUUAAUUGCAAACAAUCCAAAACAAUACAGCAAAAAUCACAAAGUAAAGCUUUUUAUUUGAAUCUUUUUUGUAUGAUGAUAAAAUAUAACCCAAAUAUUCUGAUUGUUUUUGAGUUUGAUGGUAGAAAAAUGAGACAGCCUCAUUUAAAAGGAGUCCAGCCCAUAUGUUAAGUGUAGCCUUUUAAUUCCAGUUUUAUCAGUUCAGCUAAUGUUGCUUUAAACUAAACUUCAACUGCAGAGUUAAAGUGAUGGUUAAGACACUUUUGUAUAAAUUACCUAUAGUCAGCUUCUUUACACUUUGAAAUAAUCUGACUUUUCUCUGGAAAAACUUACCUCUAAAGUCAUAUUUUAUGUUAAAGGAUGUCAAAAUACAUAAUUUGGAGGUUAACUGUAUCAUUUCUUACCUCAGUUUUAAAAGAUGAAUAAGCGUUUUGUUUGAGCUGAAUGAAAUCGAUUGAUCACAUCUCUGAACUGGUUGUUUUAAACCAAAAAAAAAAAAAAAACGGAUUUCAUAAAGAAGCAGGGAGCUAAUGAAGAGAACACUGCACAGUAUAAUUAAAGGGUAUGUGCUUAAUUCAUGUACUCAUUUAGUAUUUCUAUUUCAGCUCCGACUCUGAUGUGUGAUCAUCACAGCUGGAAGCCAUUUCUCUUUCCUGUGCAGGGAAAACGGGGCAAUGUGAAUAUCACUAAUGUUUUAUAAAGGUGUUUUAUUGUAGAAUUCCAUGCAGGGCAGAAUCAUCCUCACUCACUGUAUUAGUUUCAAGUUUAUAUUAUGCAAAUAAACUACAGCAGAAGAUUAGGGAGUCAAAGCUGCAUAGUGAUUCACAGCUCAUUGUAUAAUUGGUUUAGUAUAACAUGCAAUGAAUGAAGCGGUAUUGCACAUUCAUUUGUGUAAACAAGAAGAGUUGAACUCCAAAAUGAGUCACGCUGAUGAGAAUUAAACGAUUCAGUUUACUGUCUCAUUAUGAAAGGAAAGCUUUUAAAGCAUUUUAAACUCUUUUAUGUUAAAAGUGAGGCUUUCUGUACCGCUGGCAUUGUAGUUGGCUUCAUUCAGCCGACUGUGAGCGUCUUGUGUUUCAUUCCAGUCAUGUUUGCUCCCCUCCUGAGCUCCUGUCUCCUGCAGCAAUCUGUCUGAAAAAUGCAUACAUAACAUCCUGUGAAAAUAGCUUUCUGCAGGGACUCCACUAAAAAGCAGCGCUGCAUCAAAUGUUCCUGUCAUUCUCCGCUAGGCCGAGUUGAUGGCACAACAUUUGCAUACUGCACAAUCUGAGAGAUCAGAGUUAUAGGAAAAGUGUGUGUGUGUGUGUGAAUCUGCGUGUAAUAAUGCACACCUCCUAGAAUCUUAUUUUUCUUUUACAAAGGGUCACUUCACCUAAAUCAAAAAUAGACUUUGCCUUUCAGCUGUUCUCAGAGAUUUGUCAGUCAAAGUUCUUUUUAUAGUUGAUGGUAUGUUUUCAAUCCUACGAUGCGUCUCUCUCUAUUUUUGACUCAAAAAUCUUUCAGCUUUGUCGUGUAGAGCCUGUGGCAUUAGAUAUUGGGGCAGGGAUCUCAAAAUCUCGUUAUGUAAAACUAUAUGGUACAUAAGGUUUUACUUGUAUAAAUAUCAAGUUAUCACACACAACAGAGUAUGAGGGCCCAAUUAAGAAAAGAAAUUUAGACUUUGAGAUGAAAGUCGUUAACUAACGAGAAUAAAGUCAUUAGUAGCGAGAAUAAAGUUGUAAUUAAGUAAUAACUUAAGAAAUGAUUUUACUCUGACUUAUUCUAGUAAUGUUUAUAUUACAAAUUUAUUCUCAUGAGUAACGAUUUUAUUACAACUUUUUUCUUGUAAGAAAUAAUUUUAUUAUGACUUUAUUCUCGUAACGAUUUUACUACAACUUUAUUCUCAAACAUAAUUACUUUAUUAGGACUUUGUUCUCGUAAGUAAUGAUCUCAUUACAACUUUAUUCUCGUAAAUAAUGAUUUAAUGACGACUUUAUUCUUGUAAGUAACGAUUUUAUUAUGACUUGAUUCCUGUAAGAAAUGAUUUUUAUACGACUUUAUUCUCGUAACGAUUUUAUUACAAUUUUAUUCUCGUAAGUAUUGAUUUUAGUAUGACUUUAUCCUUGUAAUGAUUUUACUACGACUUUAUUCUCGUAUGUAAUGACUUUAUUACGACUUUUUUCUCUUUAGUCAUUUCUUUAUUACGACUUUUUUCUCUUUAGUCAUUUCUUUAUUACGACUUUUUUCUUGUAAUUACUUUAUUUCAACUUUAUUCUUGUUAGUAAUGCCUUUAUUCUUAUAAGUUAACAACUUACAUCUCUAAGUCUUACUCUUUUCUUUUUCUUAAUGUGGCCCUAAGACUCCGUUGUAAUCACAUGUGAGAGAAAAGUGUGGAAUUGUAUUAAUUAAGUGAACUGCACCUCUAAUGAAGCCUGUUCAAAUGCUGGGAAGGCCUUAAUGAGUUCAGUGUAAGGGCUUCAACACCAGGUCUCUGUCAUGGGUUGACUUAGUUUGCAUAGAUUUGUGUAAAUUGCUCACACAUGUAUCACCAAAAUUUCUAAUGCCUGGUCCAUUUUAAGACCACAAGGGGUUGAAAACCUGAGAGACCCCCCACAUGGUGAUGUAUUUGUGUGGCGGUCAACACAGCACACCACACAUGGAUACAAUAAACCAAUAACCAGAAUCCAGACUCUUAGAUCUAUUGUUCUUGGUCAAACGUGACUUUAGAGUUAACAAAGCAAACACUGGGAUGAAUGUCAGGUGAAAAUAUUGCAGGCUGCUUAGCAUCCUGGUACAUCUAGGUUGUUUAGAGCUGUGUCCCAAUUGUUUGGCUUCACAUUUCUACUCUAACGUAAUGUCUUGUUAUUGUGAUAUUGUAACACCUGCACAGUUUGAGCUUAAUUAACUAGAAGCCUCAUAAUAAAAAACCUUAUAAAAUCGUUUCCACCAGCGAAACAACAACAACCAGCUCUUGAAUGUGUAUGCCAUUGGCCAAAAAGACAAUUAAGCAGCAAGGAGGGUUAUUUCAUUACAGAGUCCUCUCCCUGGUGGAACAGGAGUGUGGUAGAUUCGAUUCUCUGGCUGUGAUUACCAAGCCCUCGGCUAUGAGAUAGAUGACUAUGAAUCAAUUGUUUUCAACAGGACUCUCACUGGGGCUUUGCAGUACUUAAAAGCGAGAAGGAGUCCACAGAAAAAGCAUCUGGCCUUGUUUAAACAGACCAUCAGGUGGUCUCAGUGACUCCAUGUAGCACCUUAAAUAUUCAUGCCAUUGUGCUUAAAGAAAAGCUAUUUUGCUCUCACGGUCUCUGCCAUGCUUUAGUGAGCAGUCACCAUGACUGGAUGGGAAAUGUUUAGUCUUGCUGUGUGUCAUCCAAUCAGUGUUUAAUAUGUGCACAAGACAGUACUAAUCAGGCCGGGCUGCUCCUCAUUAUGGGUUGACGUAAGGCCUGUAAGAGGUCUCUUGGUCGUGCCUUUGCAAAGUUAAAAAUCAGACAACAAUACUUAACAUUGUGUCUACAAGAGAGGAGGGCAAAUAUCUUCAGCGAGAUGAAAGGUCUUUGAAUCUUGUGGUGCACAAUGCUCUACACUCAACAACGGCAUCUCAUCUCAGUCUACUGUGAUUACAUUCUGGAUAACCACCUACUGAUUGUACAUUAUCCUACUUAUCACCUGGCUACUAACUUAAAAUACCAACAAGUUGACAUUAUAUAUUGAUUUGAAGGUGACAUUUUUCAUUUAUAGAUGAUUUUCAUUCACAUGUUCUCAGUUGCUUUGUGACCGUUUUCUUCAAUUUGGUUGAUGUCACCUUGAGCAUCUUGUGCGUUCCUCUCCAUAUCUCCUUCUUCUGGAUGCCCAUCUUAAACUUUAUUUUGUUGAAAUAAAUGAGGGGGAUAUCAAAAAUAUCAUUCAGGUUGUCUAUCCUGCCAAUUUGAUACGCUAACAAAAAGAUUUGCAACAACUCAUGUAGUUCCCUAAAGGCAGCUGGCAUUGUAACAAUGGUGAGAGAUGAAAUGCGCCGUAAACUCCUUCCCAUGGGUCGAUCUGAUAUGACUUGUAAUCUGGUUGUCUCUGGCAUUUCUCUUGCUAUUCAGAAUUUAUGACCCCUGCUAUGAUGUUCUGACCUAUCAGAAUCAAGUAUUUUUAAACAGCCAGGUAAUCAAAAAUAAAUAUAGGCAAUAAGGUUCUGUUGGACAAUGGGCAGUGUUAUCCCGAUUGUCAUGUCCAUGGUUGAUUUAUUUGGAGCCAGAGAAUUGUCCAUGAUAACAUGGUAAGAUAAUAUUAUUUUUUAAAGCUCCCAUCAGGAUCUUUCAGUUUGUGUCAACUUUGGUGCCCCCUGUGGACAAAACACUGGUCUAGACCCUCUCAUGCCAGUUUAAGGCAUUAAAAAUUAAAGUAUAAAAAGCACCAAUCUUGUCACUGAUAGCCUUAUUUGCUUUUGAAUAUCAUGAAAAAACAUCAGUUUGAAUUUCAGUGCAUUUUACAAAUGUCCAAAACGCCUCAUAGGAGCUUUAAUAGUGAUGUUUUUUAAAGUAAGGCUUUUGCGGAGGCUUGUCUCAACUUUCUUAUCAUGCUAAGAUUUCUGCCCAAGAGGCGAAGGCUUUACAGUACGCUCACUAAAGCACACGUACAAGUCAUAUUUCCCUCUAUAGAUCCCUCAUGCCACCACUUGACUCAUCACUUUCCUCUCUCCGGCCUUGCUCGACUCAGGCUUAAUGUUUUUUUUCUCCCGUGAAAUGGAUCUACUUGACUAGAGGAAACCUGGGCGCUGUCCUCCCCACCGCCACCGAACAACCUCCCCAGAGUGAAGUUCUUUUUCUCUGACACAUUCAAUACCAUCCCACACUAUUGACCUGACAUAUUGACGUGAAGGGGCCUGGCUGCUAAGAGGCAUCUGGCUGCAGCAUAUUGAGCAUGUAGUCGCUUGGCACUGCAGUCCAGAAGAGAUGAGGGAGACAAAAAAAAGCAGAAAUAAACGACAUGAAUGAUUCAUUUUGGAAUCAAAGCGCACAAAAUGUAACACUUGCUGUGGGUCAGUCAGUUAGUCAGUGUGCGAGUAUCAACAACAGGUGGCGCUAGUUCACCAGUCAUCUCACUCAAAUCUGGUCUGAAAGAUGACACACUCAUGAGUAUCAGUGCGCAAUGAUGACAGGAGAGUGAAUGAAAACAUGCGCCGCUACACCGUGUGCAGUGAGAAAGGACAUAUUUUCUUCUCCAGUGAUGAACAGAGGCUGACACCGAAAUGAGCCACACCACCCCCAGCAUGUACACACUUGCACACGCACGCACGCUUAUAUAUAUAUGCACACACGCACUACCACCAAUCCCAUCAUCUUCUCUCCCUCCCCCAUCCCCUUGAGGAAUAAGAGGGGAUUAUGUCAAAGCAAUUCGAUUGUAUGAGUGGAGGUAAUGAACUCUUCCCUUUUUUUCUAUUCAUUUGCGUAUUAAACUAUUUAUUUGUACCUGUUAUCUGCAGAUAAUAAUCGGAAACUUAUGGAUUUCAGGAUAAGAAACUAUCAAUGAGUAAAAAAUUUAAAUAAAACAAAACUUGAGGCUUUCUUUUCAGCGAGAGGCGUGAUUGAUUGGUGUUUGUUUCCCUUUCCAUAUCUCUCUUAGAGAAACACAGUGUUGAAGGACACUCGAAUGCUUUAUUUGUUCAGACACAUAGCUAAUGUUUUCCACUCCAACAAUAAGAAAGCCACUCCUUGUUGAGAGGCAGCUCUUUCCUAUUUAGGUCAGUGGUCUCUAGUCCAUUUCAUGUUCUGUUGCCUCUACAGUGCCUAAAUUGCCCAGCAGGCAGGUGCCAUUAGAGCAGUUUGUUUGCAAGGUAAGCAGCUAUGAGAAGUGACAGCAGUAGAAUUACUAAUGCACUUUGGCUGUCAUUUCCCUCUGAAAGCCCCUGCAGGGAGGGCCUGAUUAAAUUGAUAUUCAACCUCCUGCAUGUUGUGGGCCCAGGCUUCAUUAGCAUAGGGUUUAGAUGACACAGAGAGAGGGACAGCAUUAGUGUUGUAAGAAGCAGUUAGACAUUGUGCUGUAACUAAUUUUCCAAUUAUAAUGGGUGCCUACAAUGUAGCAUAUUAAUGAUUCAAAUCACAUUAUUAACAGAGCAUGUAUGUUUAAAAAUCAAGCGAGAGAGUGUGAGUGUGAAAAAAUGAGACGUUUUACACAGUGGCGUUUCACAGGAAGUGUCAGAGCACAUUAAAGGAGAUUAAAACAAAAAGACUUUUAUCAGCCAAAUGCCACGUGGUAAAACAGCAGAAAUAGCAUCAGAAUGAUGUCAUUUAGACCAUCUCACCACACAGAAGCAAACCCAUGUCAGAAAACCAUCACUGUAUAAUUCUGAGCUGUGCCAUCCAGUAAAUCAUGGUGUAAUGUAGGGCUGGGCGACACGCACUAAAAUUUAAAUCUGAUUUAUUUUAAAAAACUUGACUUGAUCGAUUUUACUUUUUUCCUAAAUAUAAAACUUCAAAUGAUGAAGACAUGACUCUAAACACUGUGGCUACAGUUGCUGAAGAGAGUGAGGGAGGUGGUAUUGAGUGUUAACAACAGGAGCCCCAGGGAGCAGUAGAGGAAGUUAAAAGGACUAACUUAAUUUUCAUUUUUGUAAAUCUUACAAAGCCACAAAUACAAUUUAUCAAAUUAAUCGAUUUAGCGUUCAGCCCUUAUAUAUUCUAGUGAAGGUCAAGGACACUUAAAGAGCUAUCUGGCGUAUUAAUGUAGGUUGAGAAAUAUCAACAAAAGUGCCUUUUAUCAUACCUGAGCUUUGAAUUUCACAUCAGAUAUUGGGGAGGGAAACACUGAAUGAGCUAGCUUCUUGUCUUUCUUGCUAGAAAGCUCAAAACUUUAUUGCUGAAGCUGAAAAAGGUCACACUUUGUCUCAAAGAUACUUCUCAACCACAUCUUAUCGAAACUACUCAAAUAAAAAGAAUAGUUUACAACAUGGACAUAAUCUCAAUUAUGUUACUCAGGGGUUUCCGAAGUGUCGCUUUGAAGCCUAUAGCUAUAUCAAAAAUGCAGAUUUAACCAAACUUUCGGACGACCUUACUACGGGCAAAGAGAUGGAGCUGAGAUCUUGACUCUUGGCUAGCAGGUACAGGAUGUCUGUCAAGUCGGCUAAGCCCUUAUUUUUAGUCUAGUUUUGGUCAGUGCCAAGUAGAUAACACAUCAUACUUCUAAAUUUAGUGAAUUAAUCAGUCAGACAUUGGUAUCAUGAUUGCUUAUGUUUAAAUCUAGUGUUUCACUCUCUUGAUACUUGAACUCAAAUAAUAUCGGUUUUACUGACAUUAAUUGGGUGAUUCAGUUCAGACUCGCCCAGCUGUCUGAUUAUUUUUUUAAGGUAACGUAGAGGAAUAACGCUUUCUUCAAGUCAAACUUUCUUUCUUUGGCUGUUUUUAUUUCCUUUGACUUCUCUUUGUGGGGUGGGGUUAGGGGGUCCAGGCUCAGCCCCUUAUGUCUCCAGGUCUGAGACACACCCCUGGACAGAGUCACUGAACAGACAGGUCACUACGCUCUCAGUUGCAUCCUUACAAUGAAACUCAGCCUGUUACAGGAGUCGAUUUCUCACAUUUUAGGUGAUUGUUUACAAGUGCAGUGUGGAAACCUGAAAGGAUUCUGUCUCAUUUUGGCUCUCUCUGUGAAACGGUUUAACCAGAUUGAAAUUAUCACAGUGGGUUUUACAUUACCAUGGCAAUAUCAAAUAGUGUGAACCCUGUAUUGUUGUCUAAGGAGGCCAGCAUCCCUUACCCUUGUCAAUACCCACAAGCCCCUCAGCUAGCUUCCUGUGUACUGUAACGCUGUACAGUAAUAUAGUGGAAAAUGCUCACUGACCUCUCUUUAGCCUGAGUGGUUGUUUUACUGGCCGCACGCUGGGACAAGCUGUCUGUCAAGUGUGCACUGAGUGUGGACAAAUGCAGCCUGACCUGAGCCGCUUUCAUGGGCGGACAAAGAUCAGGUAAGACUGAUGUGGUUUACAGAAGAUUUAGUGGACUGUUUAUCCAGUUUCCUGGCAACACGGAUGUACAGAUUAGAGGAUUUGUGCAGAAACAGAAGCAAAGAAACGCACACUCGAGGUGUUAAUUUGCAUUACGAUAUAUUUCAUGCAAAUGGGCUUAAAUUGUGUUAGCUUCAUUGUUUGUGUCAUGUGGUGUGGUAAUAAUCUUCCUGACAGUGUCCCACAUGAAAAAACCCAAGAAAUCCUCCGAGCUCCCUUCAGCAUUAGCGGCAUGUUAACAUCACAAAACUGUGGUGAAUGCUGCAGUUAGCACUGAGCAAAUAUUUAAAGUCACUGCUAAAGACAUCAUCACCACUGCAAAUAAAUGAAUUGAAUUCUGCUUAUAACCUCCCCCCCUUGCUCUUACUUAAAUGGAUAUUUGAUCCCCGGGGAACACCUAGCGCUUUGCAAUCUGCGUCUGCUUCCUGGUGGCGCUUCCCCAUCUCGGCGAGAAAGCAAGCAGUGACUUUGAAGUCUGUGAAGCUGAUGAUAAAUAUGCUAAUGUGUCUGGAGGUGACUUGACGUGGCGGAUAGCGCUGUGAGGGGAAAGUGCCACCCAUCGUUUAAUAUAUAGAGAGAAGGGAGCAGGGAGAGGAGAGGCGGCGAGGAUGGAGGAGGAAGCAUCUUGCUGCUGAUAAGGCGUAACACGGAUAAACAAAGGGAGUGAAAGAGCAGUUAAAGAGUUGUUUUGUCUGAUUUAGGGCAGUGACCCGGGGAUGUAUGAGUAGCAUGAAGACUUAAUGGUGUAGAUAAUAGGCAGGGGUCAAAGAGGGAAGAUACACUAAACUAGAUGACAGUGAGUCUUCAAAAAAACUCAUCGUCCACAUGAUAUUUUUACCCUUGUAGAAUACAGUCUUAGCUUUUGAAGGGAAUACUAGUGGAAAUAAUGAACUCUUCACCCAGAACUGUGUUGGCUGGCUAAUAUUGAGUGUUUGGUGCAUAAAAUUAUGCCAAACUGAGCUGCAAAAAUAUUUCAAUUCACAAUUUAUCUGUGACUUGUAUAUUGUAGGUCAUCACAGGGGGAGGAGCAUGUCCGUGUCACAUCUAAGAACAGUGCAAAAUCGACUUCGCUUUCCAUAUAUUGACUGGCAAACUUCCAAACAGAGCGUACAUCUACACAAAGAAAAGCGAUUUGUGGAAGUUUCUUAACAUUUCAUAAAUUACAUGGCAGGUCUGGCCCCCUGUGGCGAAUACAUUUACUACUGACAAGAAUCUCAUACAAACCCGAUUCAAACAAACCAAACUUAUUGAUUAUUUUUUUAGCCGUCAGUGAAGAACAAUCCUGACUUUUUUAAAAACUCUACGGCAAAAAAAGUUGUUUUAGUAAUAGACAAAUCAAACGAUGUUUCUAUCUGUACAAGCAACAAGGGAAACCAUCACAGACAUGCACUGUAACGAUCGUUUUAACCCACUCACAAAACAAUGUCAUGGAUAUUGAUCUGAAUGCAACACUUGAAGAAGGUCCGCUGUAAGCUGUACGUCUCUCUGCCAUCAUUAAACACAAUAAAUGAUACUGAGUGUGCUCAAGUUUUUAGGCUCUUUCUGUACAUUUGUGAUAUUCUUGUGCCUGAAGGGGAUUCUUGUUUUGGAGUAUGCGCCUGUUUUGCUUUUUGCUUAUUGAUCUAAAUAUCAAAUCACAUCAACCAGCCCCGUAAGGAGGACAUUUCUUUCUAAAUGGACCAAAUCAAACCACUUUUUUUCUGAUUUAAGAGUUUAAAUUAUUAAUUUUCCUCUGGACAUAAUGUGGAUGAUGAGUCUUUGUAAACAUGAUAGCUUUAUCUGUAAAAAGUUAUUCUGGUAUAGCUUUGGAAAGUUUUUGGCAUAGACCCCAUACAGAAUGGACGCCGUCUGCCUUCUCGCUGGGUGAAGCCACUCCGAGAACAGCACCCUCUGGUGACAGGCUGCAGUAUAGGUCAUAAAUCCCGCCUCCCUUGUGGAGCUGUGGACAAGCUUUAGAAACUUAUUACACAGAAUAUAAUUUUUUCUCCCCACUGCUUGCAAUGUUGACAUGUAGUUAUUGUCAGACAGGUUUGUGCUCAAGUCCUCUUUCUUUCUGUUCAGCUCCGUUUUUAAGUUAUUAGGAGGUUCUUGUUUUCUAUGAUUGACACUUGAUACAGACUAUGGGCGUACGAAGAUUGCGUAACUCACCCGGGGGAUACGCUGUUUGAGCCAAGCGUCAUCAAAGCAACUCUCGGCGCCUCUCUUGCCGAAUGUGUACAAUGCUACUGCGCAAGUGGUGGAGUGCGUACAACUCUACUGCGCAAUGUUGGUUUCAGGAAAUGGAGAAAGAACGCAGAAUUACCGAGAGCUUUUCGGCUUCAAAUCUGUAUACUGGUGGAAGGCGGAACCAAGUUGUCCAUAUACAGUCUAUGAUUUUUGGUCAUUUCAAAUGAUUUGGAUUAAAUUUAGUGGAUGGCGAAAUAAACCAUGACCAUUAUUUGUUGCUAUAGGGAGAAUUUCCUCAUGGGAUUUCUCCUCAGUUUGGGUCUCGUACGAUGAAAAAACAAACAAACAAACAAACUGCAGGUGAAGUUUGAAAGAGCUCUCGACCUCUGUGGGCAGCUGCUCAUCUUUGCUCGAGGCGAACGCUCUUGACUAAGCUAAAAUCAUACAUUCAAAACUAAGAAAUGUCUAUGCUUGGAGGGUUGUAUACACAUGAUAAAGAAUACAUGGAGCACAAAGAGAGAAAAAACACUAUCUCUUGUUUCUGCUUCUAUUUGUAUACGCCAUACAAGAAUUAUUUAUCAUGGGUCCAACAGUGUUACACUACCGACCAUAUUAUCUCGCAGUUUUAUCAUGUGACCCUUUGGAAAGUCCCAGAAGCACUGCAUUAAAACAAUCUCUCAAACAGUUGAAUACAAACUGGGGAAAAUAGAUCAUCACUUUGUUGUAUAAUGUGACUUCAGCUCUCAGGCUUUUCAUGAAUUAUUUAAGAGUGUGGGUGAAACACAUUGAAGGAGAUGCGUAUUUUAAAAUCGAAAACUUCCACACAAAGCGCAAGGCUUAAAAAAGGUACAUGCCAGUUAAUGGAAUUCUGCAAUUCAUACAUUUUAUGCCUCUGGGCUUUUUUUAUUUUUGCUAUUCUCUGCGCACAUAUUACUGUUUACUUCUCUGAGAGAGACCUUCUUCUUGGCCUUCUCCUUCUGUCGAGCUGCUGUCUCUCAGUCUGAACGCAGAUUUGAUACCCUGAAGGUGACAGCGGCAGAUCUGUUGCAGGUGUCUCCAGCAACAUCAGGGUUGUCAGAAAGCAUCACGCCACAUGACUCAGAUCUCUGAGCAGCUUAGACAUAUUUAGGGUACACAAAAACAGGUAGAUAUUCAAAAUUCCAGGCACAUGUCUGAAAUAAAAAAGGGAGUUGUUUGGCGGAAAAUCUUUUGUAUCAUCUAUUCAGUGGCCAAAACCCCUCUAUCAAUAUCUCAAGGUGGUCUUUUGAUAUUAAUACCACAAGAGCAGCUUCCUCUUCAUGUGUGUGGACUGGCUGUAGGUGUCACUGUCGACGUGGCUUUGAGUUCUACCCAGCCGUGGCUGUCGGGGUCCAGAGCGCCACCCAGCCCCCUUUGCAGGAGACGUCGUAAGUCAGAUGUUCAGAAUGCAUGGGGCAUUGUCUGCCUGGAUGUUCGAUGGGCUGGCAGCAAAAGGUGACAUCUGGUGACUAAUGUGCUCAGAUGUGAAUGCAGCUCCCUCCGUUCUCUGGGCAGCAGCUGCUCCGCAAAGGCAUAAAUGAGACAGGGGGAGUGAGGAAGAGAGAGAGCAAGAGAGAGAGGGAAAGAUAGGGGGGAGAGGGGGUGGUCGCCGGGGCCGAGGUGGGGGGCAGGGCUGUGGGUUUGAGGAGCGUGUUUGGUGCAUGUUCACCACGCCAGCCGUCUGACUCUGAGGGGGUGUGUUUAAAGGGGGGGGGUUGGGUAUGUCAUGGGAAAAAUCAAUGACUUUCUGUCUGAUUUUUGAGGAGGUGAAACACGCCGGCCUCCCCCCACCCCGCGCUCCCCGCUGCCUCUCCACGUCCGCCCGCUUCACAAAGAGACCACACAGAUCAACCAGGGGCUUGUUUUGAUCUGCUCUGUGUUUCCUGCAGCUAAGUGCCUCCUAGUCACCGUGUCAGUGGCGGUUUGAGUCAGAGCAUCUCCCCCCCCCCCCAACGCUAAUGCAUACGUUUGAGUCAUAAACUUCGUCAUAAAGGGGUAGAGGAUGUGAUGUGGAUGAUGCAAACACUGAGACACUCACUCCACCUGAAUUCAAAGAAGACCGACUCCUCUUAUUACCUCUGACUGUGUGUGGUUCAUCAACACGUGUCCACUUCUUUAUUAGGCCGUUUGUCAGAAUUCACAAAUCAACCUGGUGAGCACUAAUUGAGAUUUUGACCUUACAAUUCGGUUUGUAACAAGUUGACAUCAGCGGUAGACAUCUCAGAUCUCAUUUCAAACAUUUUCAAACCAUGAAUCGAGCUCAUGAUGGGCUUUGUGAUGUUGACAUCCACUUUUUAUCACCCUCUACAGAGAAAAUAGAAGACUACACACGCUUAGACAUUUAGAUUGUGCAACUGCAGCGAUAAAAAGACCCCGAUUUGAUAACAUAGUUGAUUAGUGACCAUAAACAGUAUAAAAUGAACAUGCUGUGGCCGGCAGUUGUGGGUGUCCCAAUUAGAGUCGGGUGUCCGUUUGAUUCCGGUUCCCAUUCCGAUUCCUCGUUUCAAUUCCAGUUCCUAACGAUUCUCUAUUCCGAUUCUUGUAAAAGGCAGGAUAGUUAAAAAAAAAAAGCAUGGUUUAAAUGAGGGUGCUAACCGGAAUUCUUCUUUUUGGAUAAAGUUUCCGAACUUCUCUAUGAAUUUUUAAAUUAUAUUAACUUUUUAAGAACUUUACUAUGAACUUCUCACAGGGCUUUUUUCAACCAGUAUAUAAAUAUCAAUUUUUGUUGUCAGGUCGUUUUUCUAUGAAAAAGUACAAGGGCUAACAUUAGUUGGAUAUUUAAGUUGACCCACCGUACACAGUACAAUUUGUUUGCCUCUUCAACGUUAGCAGAAGUAAUUUAUUGCCUCAGUUAUCUGAUUCUGGUCGGUUAGCGGAAGACCGGCGAAGCGUGUCAAAGACGGGACACUCAGGUAUUUCUCCUCCAUGAAUCCUGAGGUGUUUAAUCCUGUUGGUCGUUCACCCUCCUUUGCAUUAAAAAAACUGUGUUGCUAAUGUUGCACUGAGAUAAGAGUUCAUUCUUCCUGCUGUCCUCUUCGUCCUCAUUGGUGUUCGGCGGCUUCUUCUUCGUCGGUGUUUAGCCGCGUCUGCCUCGUUGGUGUUCGGCGGUUAUUUCUUCCAGUCGGCAGACUCCGGCGUCGAAACUUGGAAUCGAAACUUUAAAUUUGAAUCGGAAUGUCAGUCCCGGUCCCCAUCGAUGCUCGAGACACGAUGCCCAACCCUAGUCCUGAUACAACUUUUUUACUUCCGAUACGAUACCAAUGUUGUAGCCUUCAGUAAUGGCCAAUACCGAUGUUCGGAUGCUGCUAGCUAGAGGUGCCGGCGCAGAGUCUGGAAUGGAAUGCUUGUUUUGUUUUGUUUUUUCGCUGAUAUCAGACCAAUAUCCUGAUCGGAUAUCAGUAUCGGAUCUGGAUAUCCCUACUUGCACUGAUGGGUGCAGGAGUCCUUGUUGUUCAUCCAGUGUUUCUCAUCAUGACAUGAUACCCUGCUAGCUAUUGUAAUAAUUUUAGCCACCAUAUUAGAUUUGGCUUGAAAAUUACCGAUAGUAUAUGUGCAAAUAUGUGAUGAAUCUUACAUGAAAAGCAAAAUAUGACCCAAAGUUAGACAUUGGAUCAACAUAUUUCAAGAUUUUUGGUCAGUACUUGCUUCAGGUGUGGUGUAAAAAGUGCGGGAAAUUCUUCAAAUGGAAAUCACAGCAUCACAGAUUAAAAAAAAACAACAUCCUUGUAACAAGACAUCACUGCAUCCAUCACUCUGCUGCGAUUUCCCAUGAGUCAAUUGGAUUUGGGGGUAAGAACCUCCCGCUGUAAUGGCUUCAUCUCUCUCCUGUCAGCCAAGUAACCGGGAUGCAUGUCACCAGUGAAAACACGUGAAGUGUUGAGUUGACAGACAGCUGUAUGAGACCCCCCUUUUUUUUUUGCUUUCUGUAUCCAUGUGUGUGUUUGUGGUUCUGUGUGUUUGUGUGUGUGCACCCCAGAGGUCAAUCCAGCGUAAAGGUCCUCAUGACCUCAAGGCUCCUCGCUGUUUUAAACCAGGAAAGGGCCCCUUUGGUUUCGCUCCAGUAAUAAGCAGGGUUAAAAUAUCGUAACUGUAACAAGAUAUGAAACCAGAAGGGAAAAAAAACAUGACAGUUUAAUGCUAAUGUUUGAUUUUGAGAUAUAUUAAUCAAUCACUUCUAAAGUGCUCUUAUGUGACACAUGAACACGCAAUUUCUGUCUCAUAAUCUUGCCCAAAUGAUUUGUAUCCUUUUCUUUCAGCGUGGAGGAUCACAAGGGACUAGUUGUGGAUCAACACCCUCCAACAUGUGGUCAUUCGAGGCAUUCAUAUGGACAUGCUGCUGCUCAGAAGACACUUGAGCCCCACUUAAAAGGCGUCAUGGGCUGCUUUCGAUUAGAGGAGGCGG